CAUUAAAUGGGCCGUCAGACCCACGGGGGGGCUCAUAUGGGACCCCGAGGAAAAGGGGGCAGAGAGACCGGCGGCGAGCGAGCACAUCCUGCCAGCAGAGCCCUGGCCCUGGCCCCUCUGAAUCCUAACGUCACCUUUGUCUGUCUGUUAGUCUAUAAGGUGCCAUAGGACUCCUUGCUGCUUUUACAGAUCCAGACUAACACGGCUGCCCUUUGAUACUUGACAACGUCUCCUGUGUGACCCACGGGUCGGACCCCCCAGGUAGCACCCAGGGCCACAGACUUGCCCCGAGUCCUCCCCAGAGCCGAGCCCAGUUGUGGCUGACGGAGAGUCCGCCUGCCCCCGGGGGGCGGUUCUGGUCACUGUGAGACGUGUCUCGCCCCCUUGGCCGGGGUCACGCUGUCUGGGCUGGACGCCAGAGCCCACUAUUAAAUAUUUGCUCCCGCACCGCGGUGGUAUUCGCACCGGCCUCGCAUCGCCCCUGCACCAGCUCUGGGUUCAGCUCCGGGCAGCUCCUGCGCUCUGCCCGGGUUUCGAAUCCUUCCCGUGGCCGUUCUCCGAGCCGGAUCCGCACGCCAAGCCCCCAAGCACGUGGUCCGUGGGCCAGGCCGGCUGCCCGGAGCUCACCCCCAGGAGCAGGUGGGCAGGAGCCCGGAGGUCCUGCCCCGGGGGGUUGGAGGCCCCAGGGGACGGACGAGCGGGACCCCUUGAGGGUCUGGCCGGAGCACGGCACAGACCCGGUGGGGCCACGGUGCUGCCCCGAGAGACGGAUGCUGCUGCGCACCUCAGUGUGCAAACACGCGCGCCCUGCGCCGGAGACACGUGCAAUGCGGCACGCCAGCGUCCCGGAGAGAAACACCCUCCCCGAACCCUGCACGCCUGGAGGGACGCAGAGAACCGCGGCGCAGACCCCAGCCCCGGGGCACAAAGACACGCGGCCCCAAGGAGCCAGCAACACAAGCACAGAGCCGGGGAGUCUGGCUCGCACGGCGACCCAGUGCCAACGUGGAGACACAUGUGCCCCUGGAGACCUCGCACGGCCGCACGGACACAGGCCAACAACUGCACACAGACACACUGACAGUAACACACACACGUCUGCAUGCCACACUGACACACUAACCGCACACACACACUGACACUAGCACACAUAUAUGUGCACACACUGACACACUAACACAUUGGCACUAACACACACACCUCUGCGCGCACACAUGGAC
rnacentral:lncRNA from 1 species